UCUGGAAAUAUCACAAAAAUACAAAACCAAACAGUUCUACAAACCAACAACGAGGGGGCAAAGCAGGAGGAGCAGAAGAGGAAGUCGCUUUCAAUAUGCCAGUGCAAGAAACCCCAAGCCAAACACCUGGAUGAAAAUGACUGAUUACUGAUACGAAAUAUUGGAAGAAGCAAGCUGGAUGAUGAGCCUUUGUUUUUACAGUGAUCAGAAAAAGCAGCUACAGUUCUACACUUUGCUUCUUCCAGAAGGUCUGGGCUCCUGGCUGUUGAGAAAUGAUUGUUUCCUGGAAACGUGGACUCUGUUGAAGUUUUCAAUUUUACUUAAUCACUAACAUUUGCACCAGUUUGAUGCUAAGAAGUUUACUAGAAAUUAUUCUACACUGUAAAAAAACAACAUCCAUCACUGAAAAGAGAGAAGUGCCAAACUGAACGAGGAGGCUGUUAAUGUUAAUUCAAUUCUUGGAAGUGUGACCAACACAGACUGAACAGUUUUGUUCACUUCCUCCGCUGCAAAUUGCUAAAACGAGGGGCAGACUGCAAUUCUAAAACAGCGCCGAAAAUCAGCAUUGUUGUUCGUAUCUUCUCUUUCUGUUCUCUAAUUGGUCCAGUUGAAAUUCUACCAGAGACAAUCAAAGUGAAGGGAAGAAAGCCCAGACUGUGCAGUAAGGAAGAUUUAAAUUGAGUGAAAUAUCUGAAGUUUCUGUGACUUUAACCCAGAAUGGAGAUAGGUGAUGUACAACAAAUCAUGUCAAAUCAAACUUAGUCAUUUUAUGCAGUUUUGUAAGAAACCUGAGUGCUCUGAACCUCAUCAGUGCUUUUAUAUACCAGUUUUGAGAUCAUCAAACGCUGAGGCAGCUGCAUUUGUACUGAGAUUAUUUUACAUACAGGUGGAUUCUAUUUACUCAUUAGCAGUCAUCAGGUAACUUUUGAAGGCAACUAAUUGCACUGAGAGUAAAAGGGACUGAAUAUUUUGCACUUUACUUUUGGUUUUGAAUUUUUUUUUUUUGAAUCAUGUAUAAUUUUCUUUCCACGUCCCAAUUGUAUACCACUUUGUGUAGAUCUUUCACAUUAAAUUUCAAUAAAAUCUAUUUUAUGUU